UACGAAGGGUGCAAGCGUUACUCGGAAUCACUGGGCGUAAAGCGUGCGUAGGCGGUUGGUUAAGUCUGCUGUGAAAGCCCUGGGCUCAACCUGGGGGCUGCGCUUGAUACUGAUGAGCUUGAAUGCGGGAGAGGAUAGUGGAAUUCCCAGUGUAGAGGUGAAAUUCGUAGAUAUUGGGAAGAACACCGGUGGCGAAGGCGGCUAUCUGGCCCGUAAUUGACGCUGAGGCGCGAAAGCGUGGGGAGCAAACAGG
rnacentral:rRNA from 1 species